rnacentral:rRNA from 1 species
ACUCCUACGGGAGGCAGCAGUGGGGAAUAUUGCACAAUGGGCGCAAGCCUGAUGCAGCCAUGCCGCGUGUAUGAAGAAGGCCUUCGGGUUGUAAAGUACUUUCAGCAGUGAGGAAGGUGGGUAUGUUAAUAGCAUACUCAUUUGACGUUAGCUGCAGAAGAAGCACCGGCUAACUCCGUGCCAGCAGCCGCGGUAAUACGGAGGGUGCGAGCGUUAAUCGGAAUUACUGGGCGUAAAGCGCAUGCAGGUGGUUUGUUAAGUCAGAUGUGAAAGCCCGGGGCUCAACCUCGGAAUUGCAUUUGAAACUGGCAAACUAGAGUACUGUAGAGGGGGGUAGAAUUUCAGGUGUAGCGGUGAAAUGCGUAGAGAUCUGAAGGAAUACCGGUGGCGAAGGCGGCCCCCUGGACAGAUACUGACACUCAGAUGCGAAAGCGUGGGGAGCAAACAGGAUUAGAUACCCUGGUAGGCCUGC